rnacentral:rRNA from 1 species
AGUGAACGCUGGCGGUAGGCCUAACACAUGCAAGUCGAACGGCAGCACAGUAAGAGCUUGCUCUUACGGGUGGCGAGUGGCGGACGGGUGAGGAAUACAUCAGAAUCUACUUUUUCGUGGGGGAUAACGUAGGGAAACUUCCGCUAAUACCGCAUACGACCUACGGGUGAAAGCAGGGGAUCUUCGGACCUUGCGCGAUUGAAUUAGCCGAUGUCGGAUUAGCUAGUUGGCAGGGUAAAGGCCCACCAAGGCGACGAUCCGUAGCUGGUCUGAGAGGAUGAUCAGCCACACUGGAACUGAGACACGGUCCAGACUCCUACGGGAGGCAGCAGUGGGGAAUAUUGGACAAUGGGCGCAAGCCUGAUCCAGCCAUACCGCGUGAGUGAAGAAGGCCUUCGGGUUGUAAAGCCCUUUUGUUGGGAAAGAAAAGCAGCAGGUUAAUACCCCGCUGUUCUGACGGUACCCAAAGAAUAAGCACCGGCUAACUUCGUG